rnacentral:rRNA from 1 species
UACGGGGGGGGCAAGCGUUGUUCGGAAUUACUGGGCGUAAAGGGCUUGUAGGUGGCCAACUAAGUCAGACGUGAAAUCCCCCGGCUUAACCGGGGAACUGCGUCUGAUACAGGAUGGCUAGAGAUUGGGGGAGGGACGCGGAAUUCCAGGUGUAACGGUGAAAUGCGUAGAUAUCUGGAGGAACACCGGUGGCGAAGGCGGCGUCCUGGACCAACACUGACACUGAAAAGCGAAAGCCAGGGGAGCAAACGGG